rnacentral:rRNA from 1 species
AUACGGAGGGUGCAAGCGUUAUUCGGAAUCACUGGGCGUAAAGGACGCGUAGGCGGGUUGGCAAGUCAGAUGUGAAAUCCUACAGCUUAACUGUAGAACUGCAUUUGAAACUGCUAACCUAGAGUAUGGGAGGGGGAGAUGGGAUUAGUGGUGUAGGGGUAAAAUCCGUAGAUAUCACUAGGAAUACCGAAAGCGAAGGCGAUCUCCUGGAACAUAACUGACGCUAAGGCGUGAAAGCGUGGGGAGCAAACAGGAUUAGAAACCCUAGUAGUCC